GCCUCUAUGGUCUAGUUGGUUAUGACGCCGAUCUCAUAAUUCGGAGGUCCUGAGUUCGAUCCUCAGUGGGGGCA
rnacentral:tRNA from 1 species